GGAUUAGAUACCCUGGUAGUCCACGCCGUAAACGAUGUCUACUAGCCGUUGGGGAACUUGAGUCCUUGGUGGCGCAGCUAACGCACUAAGUAGACCGCCUGGGGAGUACGGCCGCAAGGUUAAAACUCAAAUGAAUUGACGGGGGCCCGCACAAGCGGUGGAGCAUGUGGUUUAAUUCGAUGCAACGCGAAGAACCUUACCAGGUCUUGACAUCCUGCGAAGUUACCAGAGAUGGUUUCGUGCCUUCGGGAACGCAGUGACAGGUGCUGCAUGGCUGUCGUCAGCUCGUGCCG
rnacentral:rRNA from 1 species